CACAUGGCAUCAUGAAGAAAAAUGUAGUACUUGCUUUUGAUGAAGCAUGGGCAGCUACGCAUGGUACUGAUGAAACAAUGCAUUUAUUUUAGACCCAGUAUCUUCCAGGAGUGGCAAGCUCUUAGGAAAGAACCAAUAAAUGGAUUAAUGGAGGAACAGCUAGAAAACUACAUUAAGACUAAUUAUCCUCAGUGGCCUCCCUGAAGUAUUUCAGAGAAGAAUAAAGCUUUCCAAAAGUACUGACGAAUGUACAAUGCAACGAAUCAUGCAUCUAAUGAACAUUGAAUCAUAAUGGAUAACUCAUAAAUUUUCACUGUAGGUGGUUUACAUGAUUUUUGCUUAUAUUGAAACUUUACCUGUCACUUUCUUUAUCUCAAACACAUAAAGUGAAAUACUUCUGUAAGUUUCCCCAUUGGGUGGAUGUUUUACUGUCUGAAAAAGCACAUCUUCUGCAAACUUAAGGAAUUUACUCUAUGUUGUUUCAUCCUGAUUACUUAAGAAAUUCUCAUCCCUUGUGGACAUGGUGGUUUGUACUUCAUUCUCUGAAGGAGCCAUUGCUUUUCUCCACAUUGCUGUCUCUUUAAAACUCAGUUCUUCACCUAGGGCUAAAACAGACCUCUCUAAAUUCCUGGUGUGCUUCAAUUGUAUUUUUAUUGUUGUAGUCUAUUCAAUUUUAUGACCAUUUUUUGAGUACUCAACAAAUAAUAAUUAAUAAGGUAACCAUUGAGUACAGAAAGAUAAAUAGAUACAACAAGAUCAAAGUCUAGUGUUAAAGGAUUUGGGGAACUAAAUAAAUCACAUCUAUUUGUUUUCAACAUACUUAUUUUAUGUUUCAAAGUAGUCAGACCUGAUAUCUUGUCGUGUUUCUUUUCCUUUAGAGAUUAUGCCUGCUUCAGCAUACACUGAAUUUACAUUUAUUAUGAAGCCAACCGGCUUUCUUAGUACGAAAGUAAGAUUCAUUGGCCUGUACCUCUUUGGUAGUUCCUGAAAUUCUUAUAGAUAGAGAUAUCAUUAGUGUUUCAACAAACUUCCGCAUAACAAAUUGUCUGAUUUAGGAAGCAAGUAAACUGAUGAUUUUUCAAAG
rnacentral:lncRNA from 1 species